rnacentral:misc_RNA from 1 species
CUCUUUCUCCCACUCUUGCAUUAUCUCUUCCCGCUCCCCUCACAGACCGGUUAUUCACUUAGGUCCUAGACACGCUGUUGAGGUGGAUUCUUGAAUGACUGACUUCACAUAUCAGUCAACCUAAAAAAACAUCGUAGCAGACUCAUCUUUUCCUUUUAAUUAUUGUGAACAGUAUUUGAAAUAAUUUAUAUCUUUCUAAAUAACAAGAUUGUUUUAGACGAUAGCUAGACUGAACAGCGAUUAUUUUAAUUAAAAAAAAAAGAGAACAGGCCCUUGAGUGGAUUUCAUCAUCUGUGCUGGUGUUCUACCAACAACUCGUACUGUCUUCACCUUACAUUGAAUCAUUCAUACUUAACUACUAGUAUUUUUUGUGCCUCCUUUGGUUUCUGACGACUGCAAAACGUUAUGAAACUGCUAUCUCAUCUUUUCAGUUACUAUUUCAUUUUAACAUUUCUAACAUUAUUCAUCUUUCUUCAAGCUACAUCAGCUGUUACACCCGAUUGUGAUUCGAAUAAAUUCAACUGCGGGGACGGGACGUGUAUUGCGUUGAAUGCAUUAUGUGACAGCUUCGAAGACUGUGAUAAUGGAUCGGACGAACACAAUUGUUUUAACGCAACGUGUGGGCCCACAGAGUCUUCUUGUGACAAUGGACAGUGCAUUCCGCAAAAAUGGGUUUGUGAUGAAGAAAUAGAUUGUAAUGACAGAUCUGAUGAGAACCCUAAAACCUGCGCUGAACGAAAAUGUCCAGAUGAUCAUUUUUCUUGUGAAAAUGGUUUGUGUAUCACAGUUGACUGGCUAUGUGAUGGACAAAACGAUUGCCCGAAUGGAUUGGAUGAAAAAAACUGUGUUCAAGACAAGUGUCUUGCGAAGGAAUUCCGCUGUAGCAAUGGUGACUGUAUCAACAAUGGAUGGGUUUGUGAUGGAGAAAAUGAUUGUGUAGAUGAGUCAGAUGAAAAGGGCUGCGAACCUCGUACAUGCCAGCCUGACGAAUUUGAGUGUGACACUCAUACUUGUAUAAAUCCAAGCUGGAUAUGUGAUGGGGACGGAGACUGUUCUGACAAUACGGAUGAAAAUAACUGUACUACAAUCAGCAAUGAAUGUACAAGUCUAGAUUUUAUUUGCAAAAAUGAAAUUUGUAUCACUAAAUCCUGGAAGUGUGAUGGUGAUGAGGACUGUCUAGAUGGAAGUGAUGAGGUCGAUUGUACGCACACCUGUGAUAAUGACCAUUUUCUUUGUGAAGAAUCAAAAGAAUGUCUUCAUAAACUACUUAAAUGUGAUGGUUCUGUUGAUUGCGAAAGCGGUUCUGAUGAAAAAGAUUGUGGCUCCUCGGGAAAUACAUGUACAGAUAGAACAUUUGAUUGUUAUGGUGAUAAAAAGAAAUGUAUUCCAUGGAAUAAAGUGUGUGAUUUCCGUAAUGAUUGUGGCAACUGGCAAGAUGAAAAUGAUGAAUUAUGUCAGGAAAAAUACCCCUGCAAAGAUGAUAAUGGUGGAUGUCAACAACAGUGCAUUUCUUUGCGUCAUAUGCACCGCUGUGAUUGUUUGGCUGGUUAUAAGCUUGUUGGCAACUCCUCUUGUCAGGAUGUAGAUGAAUGUGAAAUCUUUGGAACUUGCUCCCAAUUAUGUGAAAACCAUAUUGGCUCCUACAAAUGUAGUUGUCUACAAGGUUAUGAGCUUCAUGAUCGAAAUUCUUGCAAGACAGUUGGUCCUCGGCCUUGGUUGAUUGUGUCGAAUAAGGCUGACGUGCGUAAAUUACAGCUUGGAACCCAUAAAUACAAACUAAUACAUUCAAAAAGUGACAAUGCCAUUGCUCUUGACUUUGACUAUUCAGAAGGGAUGGUUUACUGGACUGACAUUACUCAAGAAAAGAUUUUGAGAGCUCCAUUUGAUGCAGAUGAUGCAGUGAAUUCAUCGGAAACAGUUAUUGGAACUGGCCUGAAACAUCCAGAUGGCUUGGCUGUUGACUGGAUCCACCACAAUGUCUACUGGACUGAUACAGGAUUGACAAAAAUUUUUGUAGCAAAUAAAUCAGGGCAUCAUGUUAAGACAUUGAUAGAAGAGGGACUUCGUGAACCAAGGGCUAUAGCUGUUGAUCCUAAAAGAGGUUGGUUUUAUUGGACUGAUUGGGGAUAUCCAGCUUCAAUUCAAAUGUGUGGCAUGAAUGGAAAACAUUCACGAAAAAUUGUAGUAAAUAUACAGUGGCCAAAUGGUUUAACAAUAGAUUAUGAAAAUCAAAGAUUAUAUUGGAUUGAUGCCAAGUUAAGAAAAAUUGAAAGCUCUAAUCUGAAUGGGGGUCAGCGUAUAACUAUUCUCAGCAGCCGAAGAUAUAUUUUGUUCCCUUUUGCUAUAACCGUUUUCGAGGAUACUCUGUAUUGGACUGAUCGUAACAGUGAAUCAAUUUGCCAAGCAAAUAAAUUUACUGGAGAACAUUUUGAAAGAUUAGGGCUACAACUUCGUGAACCAAUGGACUUACAUGUCUAUCAUCAUACACGACAACCUUCAUCUACAAGUCACUGUGGCCCCAAUAAUGGUGGAUGUGCACAUUUAUGUUUGCCUGACCCUCACGACGAUGGAGAUACAACGUACACAUGUGUCUGUGCUGAUGGUUAUAUGUCAUUAAGAAACGGACGUGAAUGUGUUCACCAAGGUCCUUUUGAUAUUGCUGCUAACAGUUCAACUGUACUGACUAAAUCUAAUGUUUCUCUUACAUCUAAUACUACUACUACUACUACUAGUACUACUCCUCCUUCUCCUCCUCCUAUUAAAAUAAAUGAUUCCACUACUGUUACUACUCCUCCUACCACCACUUCUAUUAUUACUCUCCAUCCUCUUAAAGAAAAUAACACACAUACCCAACCAGCGACUGCUGUUACUAACAUCUCUACUCUCUCUAAUGAUUCAGGCAAUACCAUUCAAUCUGUUACAAAACCAUCACAUACAACAACUUCAAAGUCACGAGGUAUCGUACCCAGUACUCGUACACUUGUUCGAUCAAGUACAAUUACUCCAACAACACCUGGGGAUAAUCAGUCAAAUUCUGAUUCAUCAAUCACUCAAGCAUCAACAGGAAAUAGCUUAAAUCAGACAACCCCUGUUGUUAUUCAAAAACCGAAAGAAACUGGCAAAAUCACAGGAAUUGUUACAACAGUUCUGAUUUUAAUAUUGAUUAUAUUAAUUGUGAUUACUUAUGUCUCAUACAAAGCCUAUCGUAAGAAGCGAACAAAGCAUAUGAACUUUGACAAUCCUGUCUACAGAAAGACAACUGAAGACCGAAUUAUGUUGGAGAGAAACACAUCAAAUCAACUUCCAGCGACUCUACAGCCGCUGACAGCUUAAUGAGUGUGCAAUGUGUUUUUAGUCUUCCUAGUAAUUGCUAUGUUUCAUAUUGGAUGUCUUCAACAGGGACAUUUCCUAUUAACAUCUCUAGCAUCCCUGUAGAAACCUGCUCAAGUCCAGUGACAACAACAAUCUGCUAUGCUGAACUAUUAAUGGAUCAUUCUCUUACACAAUACCUCUCGGAUAACCCACUAAACUCUUCUCGGCUUUCAACAAUGGUAAAAAUAAAAUCAGUUGGAAUCAGUGGACAUGGCAGGGAAGGCAGUGCUUAUCAGAAGAAUGAAAUGGUUCCGGCCUCUUCUUCUUUAUUUUCUCUUCAUGGGUGUAGGUCCACAAAAUUUACUUGUAAGAUAAAACAAUUAUUUCUACUUCGUCUUCUUUCUCUUUCUUUUGCUUCAGUUUUUUGUUUCUUUUUUUUUCAUCUUGCAACCAAAUCACAUCACUAACCAAUAGGGUGUGUUUGUGUACACACCAAGUGUGAAUGUGUGCGUGUACACCCUACAGUUGUGAUAUGUUUUAAAUGUAAAUAAAGACAAUGAUUUAUGUAUAAUACUUGGCUUACUACAAUGUAUCUAUAUUUCAUAUCUUCACUAGGAUUAUAUAUGUGUGUGUACAUGUAUAUGCGUGUGCAUGUACAUAUAUAUAUAAAUUAAUUUUAAAAGAUACUUUUUUUAAUUCUUAUUUAUGAUUUUUUUCUGUCAAAUUUAAAUCUGAGCUUUGGCUUUUGUAAUAUAAUUCAAACCAUUAAUAGCACAUACAAUAGAUGUAUAAAUUCCUGUAAUAUAAACUUUAAACAUAUAUUUAGUGAAAUCUAUAUAUAUGUGUAUUUUAUUUAAACUAUUUGUCGAUAUAUGUAUAUAAAGUAUCUCAACAAUCAAACUGUUUCUGCCAACAAGCAUUUCUAAAUGGAUUUUACAAUUUUACACAGAAAAUAGAAAAAAAAAAGGAAUCCUAUCUUAAUUUUGUUUUAGUCUCAGUUCUGCAUAAUAAUUCCAUUUGUAUUUUUUUUUUAAAUCCUUUUGUUGCUAUAUUUCUGUUGAAAUAUUCUGCUUUUGUUUCAAUUCAUUUUGGAAAUAAUGAAGAAUUUAAUAAAACAAUUGUCAUUAUUAAGCUGGUAUUUGAAACAUGAAGUUUUGUAUCAUAGUACCAGGGGCAUUCUUGCACUGGUUUCUUUCAGAAGGGUUCAUUCAGCCUUUUUCUCUUUUGCUUUCAAAAUACUGGAAUUCUAAAUAUAAAAGUUUUUGUUUCAUAAUUGUACAGAAGUGAAACAAAUUUUCUAGUCUUUUAACCAAUUCUAAUUUGCAUAAAAACUUCAGAAUAAUUAAUUUCAGAACGUUAUGGUUUUAAUUUAUGUUGUAAGGAAACUUAUUUUAUAAUUCUUUUCCUGAUGGCUUGAUGCUAUCAAUUUCCUGGUAGUAAUGACAGCCAGAUUGCAUUUCAUUUUAAGGAAGAAAGCAAGGGACCAAUUUUUUUUUUUUUAAAUAAAGUUUUAUUUUACUGUUGAAAUUUUGAAAGGAAUUUGGGAAAAAUUUCUAUAAAA